GCCCCCGUCUCCAUUCCCCUGGCUUUGGUCAUUAUCGCCCUCCUCCUGAGCUGCUUGCCUGCUGUCCCGGGUCCCACAGAGCCAGCACCUGCCGGAAGUCCCUCCAUCUGAUCCCACUUAACUCCCACCGGAAGCAGCUAGGGCUGAGGCCCUGGAGGAGGCCUUGAUGAGCGCACGGUCUGGCCAGGCCAGGGUCAGGAAUGACGAGGUGAAGUACAAGGCUGUGGAGUCACCCCUGCUUUUUGUCCUCAGGAGAACAACCAGGAGGAAGUACUGGAAGGAAGGAAGGGAGAUCGCUCGGCCGGGGGACUCAAGCACCAAUGUGAAGCUGAAGAGAGUCGUGGAGACGGGGGGCAGUGAGACCGAGUCUGCCCAGGCCACGCCCGUGGCCGGGGUGUGGCCCUGGCCCUGGGGAGGGUCACUGUUUGAGAGGAGGACGCAGCUUUAUAAAAUGACUCCAUGAGAGCCACGAGAACCCAGGAGCCCAGGAAGACAGGCCCGUGACUUCUUUCUUAGGCACGAGAGGCGCUGGGACAGUGAUUUGCCUCAUACAGGCCUUUGGAGAGUUUAUACAUGUUC
rnacentral:lncRNA from 1 species